GGGCACGUUGGUUCAUGCCUAUAAACCCAGCACUUUGAGUCACAGCAGCCUGGGUGAAAGAGGGAAAUCCUGUGUCUACAAAAAAAAUAAAUAAAUAAAUAAAUAAAUAAAAAUCAUCCUAAUCAUCUUUUCUUUUUUUUUUUUUUUUUUGAGACGGAGUCUCUCGCUCUUGUCGCCCUGGCUGGAGUGCAGUGGCGCAAUCUCGGCUCACUGCAACCUCCGCCUCCCGGGUUCAAGGGAUUCUCCUGCCUCAGCCUCCUGAGUAGCUGGGAUUACAGGCGCACGCCACCAAGCCAGGCUAAUUUUUGUACUUUUAGUAGAGA
rnacentral:lncRNA from 10 species